rnacentral:tRNA from 1 species
UCCUUGGUGGUCUAGUGGCUAGGAUUUGGCACUUUCACAGCUAUGGCCCAGGGUUCAAUCCCUGGCCUGGGAA